rnacentral:rRNA from 1 species
GACAGAGGGGGCAAGCGUUGUCCGGACUGACUGGGCGUAAAGCGCGCGCAGGCGGUUCGAGGCGUCGGUGCUGAAAGUCCACCGCUUAACGGUGGGAAGCGCGCCGAUACGCUCGAACUGGAGGGCGGGCGAGGGUGGUGGAAUUGCCGGUGUAGUGGUGAAAUGCGUAGAGAUCGGCAGGAACACCAGUGGCGAAGGCGGCCACCUAGCCCGCACCUGACGCUGAGGCGCGACAGCGUGGGGAGUGAACUGG